UACAGAGACUGCAAGCGUUAUUCGGAUUCACUGGGCGUAAAGGGUGCGCAGGCGCCAUGUGUGUGAGGCGUGAAAGCCUGGGGCUUAACUCCAGAAUUGCACCUCAAACUACAUGGCUAGAGCAUUGGAGAGGGUAGCAGAAUUCAUGGUGUAGCAGUGAAAUGCGUAGAUAUCAUGAGGAAUACCAGAGGCGAAGGCGGUUCUCUGGGCAUGUCCUGACGCUGAGGAGCGAAAGUGUGGGGAGCGAACAGG
rnacentral:rRNA from 1 species